GGAUGGAUAACCCGUAAUUGGUAGCGGUGCUGACUGUAAAUCAGUUGUCUUAGGACUCUGGAGGUUCAAGUCCUUCUCCAUCCA
rnacentral:tRNA from 1 species